rnacentral:rRNA from 1 species
GACAGAGGUGCCGAGCGUUAGGCGGAAUCACUGGGCUUAAAGCGUGUGUAGGCGGAUUCCUAAGUACCUUGUGAAAUCCCAUGGCUCAACCAUGGAACUGCUUGGUAUACUGGGUGUCUUGAGCCAGCUAGGGGCUACCGGAACAAAUGGUGGAGCGGUGAAAUGCGUAGAUAUCAUUUGGAACGCCAAUGGUGAAAACAGGUAGCUGGGGCUGUGCUGACGCUGAGACACGAAAGCCAGGGGAGCGAACGGG